GCCGGGCGUGGUGGCUCACGCCUGUAAUCCAAGCAUUUUGGAGGCCAAGACGGGCGGAUCACCUGAGGUCAGGAGUUUAAGACCAGCCUGAUAAACAUGGUGAAACACCGUCUUUU
ensembl:misc_RNA Metazoa_SRP Metazoan signal recognition particle RNA